rnacentral:rRNA from 1 species
AGAGUUUGAUCAUGGCUCAGGAUGAACGCUGGCGGCGUGCUUAAUACAUGCAAGUCGAACGGGAUCGCAAGAUCUAGUGGCGACCGGGUGCGUAACACGUAGCUGACCUACCCUCUCGCGGGGGAUAACAGGCCGAAAGGCUUGCUAAUACCGCAUACUCUUCAACGAAAUAGCUAGUUGAAGGAAACUUCCGGGGCGAGGGGAGGGGGCUGCGGCCCAUCAGGUAGUUGGUGAGGUAAUGGCUCACCAAGCCGAUGACGGGUAGGGGGUCUGAGAGGAUGGUCCCCCACACUGGCACUGACAACGGGCCAGACUCCUACGGGAGGCAGCAGUAAGGGAUAUUGGUCAAUGGGCGCAAGCCUGAACCAGCAACGCCGCGUGGAGGAUGAAGGCCUUCGGGUUGUAAACUUCUUUUGCCCCUGACGAGCGAGGACGGUAGGGGGCGAAUCAGUCACGGCUAACUACGUGCCAGCCGCCGCGGUAAUAC